GACGAACGCUGGCGGCGUGCUUAACACAUGCAAGUCGAACGGAAAGGCCCUGCUUUUGUGGGGUGCUCGAGUGGCGAACGGGUGAGUAACACGUGAGUAACCUGCCCUUGACUUUGGGAUAACUUCAGGAAACUGGGGCUACUACCGGAUAGGAGCUCCUGCUGCAUGGUGGGGGUUGGAAAGUUUCGGCGGUUGGGGAUGGACUCGCGGCUUAUCAGCUUGUUGGUGGGGUAGUGGCUUACCAAGGCUUUGACGGGUAGCCGGCCUGAGAGGGGGACCGGCCACAUUGGGACUGAGAUACGGCGCAGACUCCUACGGGAGGCAGCAGGGGGGAAUAUUGCACAAUGGGCGGAAGCCUGAUGCAGCAACGCCGCGUGCGGGAUGACGGCCUUCGGGUUGUAAACCGCUUUCGCCUGUGACGAAGCGGGAGUGACGGUAAUGGGUAAAUAAGCACCGGCUAACUACGUG
rnacentral:rRNA from 1 species